CCAUGAAGCAGGCUUUUCAUCUUGCUUGAAUUCAAGAUUCCACCAAUAAGUCUUUUGUUUAUCUUCACCUAAAGUUCAUAACAUGUAUAAUACCACCAACUUUAAUAAACCCUUCAGUACUGUGAGGGUUGGGGAUGGAUUUUUUACUGUUAUCACACGAAUCUACGUUGCUGGUAUUUGUUUUCUUGUUAUUGAAGUGUUAAAGGGACGAUCCAUAGGUACAAAAAAGCAUGUCUAGAUCCACCUAACAAUGGUUCGGUUGCUGAAGCCAAUGCUCAGGAACUUGAGCUAUAUAACAACAACCAAUUCCUUAGAGCAAAGGUGUAAUAUCUAUUUCAAUCACAAAAUGAACCAGUAGUCCAUUUAAUUGAUUUGUACAUUGGUAAACUAUUGUAUUAGAUAGUUGAAAACAAAAGAGCUCAGCAGCAGCACAUGAGCUUGAUGCCUGGAAGUUCUGAUUAUGAGCUCGCACCACACCAAUCCUUUGAUGGUCGAAACUUCCUUCAAACGAAUGAGAUGCAACCCAAUAACGACUACUCAUGCCAUGACCAAACGCCACUCCAGUUAGUGUAAGUAAUAAUGAUGACAGAAUUAGGUGGUGUUCCUGGAUUACCCAUUUCAACUGGAGCUGUGAUAGACUUAGGCCAUCCGUAGUCAUAAAGCCCUUUGUGGGGCGUUAUAUCACUAGAGCCCGUAGUCAUAAAGCCCCUACCCAUCAAUACCUAAUUAUUAAUUUUCGUUUUUAUUAAUUAAUUAUAAAAACCUUGCUUUAUUUUGAUUGGUCCAAACUUUGAAAACAACCCCUAUCACCGGCGUUAUAUAUAUGGCGCCACCCAAGUUUUUUGUCUCAUAAAGCCCCCCGUAGUGGUGUUUGGGGCUUUAUAAGGGCUUUAUGAGGGCAUAUAGUGCCCCACUACACAAAGACUUAUAAUUAUAAUGAUUAAUUAACUAGGACUAGUAGGAUAUCUACUUGCUAUAAUACUGAUUGAUUACGGUCUGGUUAUUUGAAGACGAACAGCUGUUAAUUAAUACGAUCAUGGUCUUAUCUAUGUGCUACUUACGUGUGCUCCGAUUAAGGCCAUAAGACUAUUUGUUGUAGUUUAACAUAACUCUCUACCAAGUCACUGUCACGUAAACAAUGGGCUUUACUUAACGCGCCUUUUAACUAUCACGUUGUAGUUUAGCUAAAAAAACAAAACAAAAAUACAUGUGAUUGGUUGAUUCUUGGUGCCCCCCCCCCCCCACUUGCAAUGGCUAAUGCCUGUGAAGGGCAUGGCACCCCUUUGGUUAACGCCUUCCUUUAACUAGUCCGCCGCGAUGUUUGGGACGAUAACAAGGUGAUGUGGUUAGGGGCAUUAAGCAACACCUAGUCUUAGAUUAUGCUCCAUACAUGUGACUAGACAGGGGCGCAGCUUACUUGGGGCGAGAGCCCCCCC